rnacentral:rRNA from 1 species
UGAGAAAACAAGCAAAUAAGUUAAAACUUUCAACAACGGAUCUCUUGGUUCUGGCAUCGAUGAAGAACGCAGCGAAAUGCGAUAAGUAAUGUGAAUUGCAGAAUUCAGUGAAUCAUCGAAUCUUUGAACGCACAUUGCGCCCGCCAGUACUCUGGCGGGCAUGCCUGUUCGAGCGUCAUUUCAACCCUCAAGCCCUGCUUGGUGUUGGGGUCCUACGGCUGCCGUAGGCCCUGAAAGCUAGUGGCGGGCUCGCUAUAACUCCGAGCGUAGUAGUAAAAUAUCUCGCUAGGGAGGUGUCGCGGGUUCCGGCCGUGAAAGCCCAUCUUUUACACAAGGUUGACCUCGGAUCAGGUAGGAAUACCCGCUGAACUUAAGCAUAUCAAUAAGCGGAGGAAAAGAAACCAACAGGGAUUGCCCCAGUAACGGCGAGUGAAGCGGCAACAGCUCAAAUUUGAAAUCUGGCUUCGGCCCGAGUUGUAAUUUGUAGAGGAUGCUUUUGGUGAGGUGCCUUCUGAGUUCCCUGGAACGGGACGCCAGAGAGGGUGAGAGCCCCGUAUAGUUGGACACCGAGCCUCUGUAAAGCUCCUUCGACGAGUCGAGUAGUUUGGGAAUGCUGCUCAAAAUGGGAGGUAUAUCUCUUCUAAAGCUAAAUACUGGCCAGAGACCGAUAGCGCACAAGUAGAGUGAUCGAAAGAUGAAAAGCACUUUGAAAAGAGGGUUAAAUAGUACGUGAAAUUGUUGAAAGGGAAGCGCUUGUGACCAGACUUGUGCCCGGCUGAUCAUCCAGUGUUCUCACUGGUGCACUCUGCCGGGCUCAGGCCAGCGUCGGUUCUCGCAGGGGGACAAAAGCUUCGGGAACGUAGCUCCUCCGGGAGUGUUAUAGCCCGUUGCUCAAUACCCCUGCGGGGACCGAG